rnacentral:lncRNA from 1 species
GAAGAUUUUGUAUUUAGGAAAUCUUGUGAAAUAACUCUUUCUUUUGAUCGAUUGAUCCAUGCCGAUCAUGUAAGGAUCGGUCCCUGAAAAAGUUACUUUAUCAAAAAAUAUCUAAUUUCAUUUGAUCGAUUCACUAUAUGCAGACUUCUAAAGUUAUCCAACAAUGAAGAGAAAACAUAGAGAUCUAAGUCCAGUCCAGCAACUAAUCUCAAAUACCUGCCAAAAAUAUAACAAUGCC